rnacentral:tRNA from 1 species
GUCGGGAUGGCCGAUUGGUCUAAGGCGCAAGACUCCAGAUUUUGGUCCACGCAUGUGGGCGUGGGUUCGAAUCCCACUUCUGACA